rnacentral:rRNA from 1 species
UACGUAGGGCGCAAGCGUUAUCCGGAAUUAUUGGGCGUAAAGAGCUCGUAGGCGGUUUGUCGCGUCUGCUGUGAAAGACCGGGGCUCAACUCCGGUUCUGCAGUGGGUACGGGCAGACUAGAGUGAUGUAGGGGAGACUGGAAUUCCUGGUGUAGCGGUGAAAUGCGCAGUUAUCAGGAGGAACACCGAUGGCGAAGGCAGGUCUCUGGGCAUUAACUGACGCUGAGGAGCGAAAGCAUGGGGAGCGAACAGG